UUAUUUCUUUAGAAAGCAUC
rnacentral:piRNA from 1 species